CAUCACUAGGCCACCUAGACUUUCAGUUUACUUCUAAUUGUGUUUCAGAUAAUGCUAUUCCCAGUUAGGCAGAUGAUCAUUGUAAUUUCUGGUAAUGAAAUGGCAAGGGAGCCCAUUCUGUACUGGGAAGAGAGCCAGAGCCCAGCACUUUAUAAGAAACAAGUGUUACGGUCUAGGACAGAGAAAUGAAGCCAAGGUGCUGUUGAACAUUUACAAAUGAUCCUUCUCCCAAAGUGUUUCUGAGACUGAGGUGGUCUGGGAUGACCCUGAGAGAGCCUGUUAAAAUGCAGAUGUCCAAGCCCCACCCUGCAGAGGCUAUCAGAAGGUAGAGAGGCGAGAGAAAGGCAAAACGGGAAAAGAGAAUAAAUGGGAAGAAAAAUGAAAACAAAGAAACCAAGAUUGGGAACAGAAAGGCGUUACCAGCUCUCAGCAUCAAAGACAAGAUUUACAUUUUGGCCAUUCAUUAAUAUUGUCAUCAUGUACUAUAUGUGCAUUGGAGUAUAGUUAGAUAUUUCUAAGGAAAGAGAGAAAAUAAUUUUUUACAAGUUUGAGACAGCAUCAGUUCAUUUAAGGUUUCCAGUGGUAAAUCUUUUGGUUUUUGUUUCCAUGAGUUCAGCAAACCAUGUAAAUAAGAUCAGAGUUUUAAAUUUUCUAAUAGUCUGGGUGCUUUGACUAGCAAUCCUAUAAUCCUAGUUCAUGUACUUCUCAGAACAGUCUGCUGCAAACUUAACCCCAAGAACAGAAUGUUGUCGAGCUGCAAAAAGGGUGUCAUCAUUGCUUAGGUUCUGAUGUUAGAGUUCACAAAUGAUGUCCUUUAAAUAUACCCCCCAGUGACUCAAACACAUCCUCGUUUUUAUGAAGGACUGUUGACUUUCUGCUCACAGCAAAAUAAGGAUGCUGAAAGUUGUUGAUUUAAAGAACAGAAGCAAGGCCAGCAAGUAGGGAUGUGUAAUUGCCAUUAUUAUCUGACAAGAAGCUGCCCACUUGCUUCUUGGGUCUGCCCUGCAGACCCAGGUUCCUGUAGACUCUCAUUUUGGUCAUGUAGGAGACUUUGCCUGCCAGAGAAUAUUGCUUCAGUUCCUUUAUGAAAUGGCAUGACUAUCCUGGAGUUCUGCAGUGAUGGGCAAAAAACUGCCUGCCUGAUUACUUACACUUCCCACCUCCUGAAUCCCCAAAUUGGGCACUUGCUUCUAUUUUUUUUCUAUCCAUUAUCUCCCUACCUCUCAUCCUCCUUGCACUUAAAAACUUUUCAUAUGAACGGAUGGAAUAAACGCAUUAACUUUAAGGUCCAUAUGAUAGAUAGGGCAUAAAGAAUGAUGUGUUCCUGAUUAGUUGUAAUUUAAAAAUAAGGAAACUCUUAGGCUAAAACAAUAAACAUUUAAUAGUAGAAUAUCAAGUGUUUGGGAGCUGGUUGGAAAAAUAUUUUGGGGGCUGAGUUGUGUGUUCAUGUGCAUGUAUAGGCAGUGGCCUGGGCAUCUCAGAACUGUGCCACGAAGGUGAGCACAUUUUGAAGCUGUGCCUCACAGCAUGCAUUAGUUUCUGGGCAUUGACUGUUGAUUGGGAAACCUGGGGAAAGGCACAGUCAAGAUCUAAUGCUCAGGGCUCCAACCCCAGAACAAUGGCAGGACGUGGCCACGAGCCCACCCACCGAAAGCGCCUGUACCUGAGGGAAUGGGUGUUCCAAGCAGGGGAAAACGAGGCAGAGUAUGUGCGUUCACUCCACUCACAGGCCACAUUAUCUUUUUCCUCUUAGGGGAUCUCUGCAUCCUUAAGUAACUUCCCAGUCAUCAAAUCAGUCUUUAUUAAAUUUUCACAUGCACUUAGUUUUCGAUUCAAUUUGAAAUGUGCUCCGAGGAGCAUCAUAUGGACUAAAUAAUUAGCUAAAGAGAAAUGGUACAGCAUAGAUUUUAGAGAAUGGCACAGAACAGUGCCUCUUAAAUACCACCAGUAGUAACUGAGGGCUUUUAUGUAACACAAAGAUGUGUACUUUUAUUUUGAGUUAUUUAUUUUCAUUUUUAUUUAAAGGAAAAAAUGGCUUAUCAGACCAGUAGUUUUGGGGAUAUUUUUGCUGAGAACAAAGCUAAAACAGGUAUUUGGGUUUUAAAAAGUGUGUCAAUUUAAAAAACGAUUGAAGAAGUAAUAAAUAGUGCAAGGAUAAUAAAAGAAUCUUGAAGGCUGUGCUCAAGUAACUGCAGUUUAAGAAACACUGCCAAGUCCAGGAGAGCAUCACCGCAUAUCAAUAGCCCUGGAUUUACUCCUGUUGUGCAAAGGACGUACUAUAUGACCCUGGACAAGUUGGAACCUCUCUGAACCUCAGUUGACUGAAGUAGAACGGUGACAUUGAAGGAGAUUGCCAAGAUCGCCUCCCAUGGUAGCAUGUGGUGAUGCUAUUGAUAUUACAGGUUACCUUCUGUGUCUAGUGAGGUGGAAAUGGGGAAAUGAUGUCAAUCGUGAUACUAUGUCUGGAGACAUCAUGUACAUAAGCAUCAAGUUGACUCCUCCUCACCCUGAAGCAGUGAGGUAUAGAGAAAAGUCUGCCACUUACUGUGUUCCCUGGGCCUUGAUCAAGUCACUUACUCUCUUUGAAGCCCAGUUUCUCUACUUGUUUUUUGAAUUAUGUUUUUAAUUGACAAAUAAAAAUCAUAUAUAUUUAUUGUAAACAACCUGUUUUAAAAUGUGUAUACAUUGUGGAAUGGCUCAGUCAAGCCAUAAUUAACAUAUGCAUUACCUCAUAUACUUACCAUUUUUGUGGUGAGAACAUUUAAAAUUUAUUCUCUUAGUGAUUUUUGCACAAAUACAUUUCCAGUGAUUAUAGUGACCAUGUAGUACAAUAGAUCCUUGUAUUCCUCCUGUAGAACUGAAAUUUUACAUCCUUUGACCAACAUCUCCCCAACCCCUCCUCACUUCAAAGCCCCUGGUAACCACGAUUCUACUCUCUAUGAGUUCAACUUUUUUAGAUUCUGCAUAUAAGUGAGAUAAUGCAAUAUUUGUCUUUCUGUGCCCCCAGUUUUACCAUUUGUGAGAGCAAAUGGUCAUGGUGAUGAAUAAUACCUAUUCAGUGUAUGCAGUCUUAUUGGACUACUCAAAUGCAGUGUACGUAAAAUGAAAAAUUUCAGAAACAUAAGUAAAUGUUUAUAAAACAAACAUAAAUUUUGUUCUUCCACCCUCCUGUAACUUUGUCAUCACUUCCUCAUUUUUAAAUAUAGUGUUGUUGUAUGUAUAGCUAUAUCAUGAUCAGGCAAAAAAGUUAAUAGGUUAAGUUCAAGCCAGUAACUGUUGAUAGUUUUUAAACUCUCAGAUAAAAUAUUUAAUGUUGGAGAAGGAAUUAGGAAUUGGCUCAUGGAUAAAACAGAAAACCAUCACCUGCCAGUGACCUCAAAAUCUUAUUUUAGCUAAAAGUUUUAACCAUCUCCUCUUCUAAACCUGUAAGUGGAAAAUGAGCUACA
rnacentral:lncRNA from 10 species